rnacentral:misc_RNA from 1 species
UCCUGGUUAACCCAGGCAGUCUCGUUAGAGUUCCCGCCAUUACGCGCUGGCAACUAACAAUAAGGGUUGCGCUCGUUGCUGGACUUAACCAAACACCUCACGGCACGAGCUGACGACAGCCAUGCAGCACCUAUAUAGAGGCCCUUUCGGGCUGCAAUGUCUCCACUACAUCCCUCUACAUUUCGAGCCCAGGUAAGGUUCUUCGCGUUGCAUCGAAUUAAACCACAUGCUCCACUGCUUGUGCGGGCCCCCGUCAAUUCUUUUGAGUUUCACCCUUGCGAGCGUACUCCUCAGGCGGCAUACUUAAUGCGUUAGCUCCGGUACAGAAAGGGUUGAGCCUCCCUACACCUAGUAUGCAUCGUUUAAGGCUAGGACUAC